rnacentral:rRNA from 1 species
CCUACGGGCGGCAGCAGUCGAGAAUCAUUCACAAUGGAGGCAACUCUGAUGGUGCGACGCCGCGUGCGGGAAUGAAGGUCUUCGGAUUGUAAACCCCUGUCAUGUGGGAGCAAAUUACGAAGAUAGUACCACAUUAGGAAGAGCCUGCUAACUCUGUGCCAGCAGCCGCGGUAAUACAGAGGACUCAAGCGUUGUUCGGAAUCACUGGGCGUAAAGGGUGCGUAGGCGGUUUCGUAAGUCGUGUGUGAAAGGCUCGGGCUCAACCCCCGGACGGCACAUGAUACUGCGAGGCUAGAGUAAUGGAGGGGGAGGCGGAAUGCUCGGUGUAGCAGUGAAAUGCGUAGAGAUCGAGAAGAACACUCGUGGCGAAGGCGGGUUACUGGACAAUAACUGACGCUGAGGCACGAAGGCCAGGGGAGCGAAAGGGAUUAGAUACCCUUGUAGUC